UACGUAGGGCGCGAGCGUUGUCCGGAAUUAUUGGGCGUAAAGAGCUCGUAGGCGGCCUGUCGCGUCCGCUGUGAAAACCCGGGGCUCAACCCCGGGCUUGCAGUGGAUACGGGCAGGCUAGAGGCAGGCAGGGGAGAACGGAAUUCCCGGCGUAGCGGUGGAAUGCGCAGAUAUCAGGAGGAACACCGGUGGCGAAGGCGGGUCUCUGGGCAGUAACUGACGCUGAGGAGCGAAAGCGUGGGGAGCGAACAGG
rnacentral:rRNA from 1 species